rnacentral:rRNA from 1 species
UACGUAGGGUGCAAGCGUUGUCCGGAAUUAUUGGGCGUAAAGAGCGUGUAGGCGGCCUGACAGGUCUGCUGUGAAAACUCGAGGCUCAACCUCGAGAUGUCGGCGGAAACCGUCUGGCUAGAGUCCGGAAGAGGAGAGUGGAAUUCCUGGUGUAGCGGUGAAAUGCGCAGAUAUCAGGAAGAACACCUAUGGCGAAGGCAGCUCUCUGGGACGGUACUGACGCUGAGACGCGAAAGCGUGGGGAGCGAACAGG